rnacentral:rRNA from 1 species
UACGUAGGGUGCAAGCGUUAAUCGGAAUUACUGGGCGUAAAGCGUGCGCAGGCGGUGAUGUAAGACAGUUGUGAAAUCCCCGGGCUUAACCUGGGAACUGCAUUGGUGACUGGCAGGCUUUGAGUGUGGCAGAGGGAGGUAGAAUUCCACGUGUAGCAGUGAAAUGCGUAGAGAUGUGGAGGAAUACCGAUGGCGAAGGCCAGCCUCCUGGGCCAACACUGACGCUCAUGCACGAAAGCGUGGGGAGCAAACAGG